UGAGCUGCUUCGGGGCUGAAUCCAGGAGCUGGAGCUCAGAGAAGAGUCAGACAGGAGUGGCCAUGUUGCAGAGGAUUUUUUCUACAAGCAGACACAGGAGCAGAGGUUUAAUAAGCUCAAGCAAACAAAAAACAGAAGUCAACUCUCUGUGGGGUUUCUAGCCAAGUAACAAAGAUUUAGAGUCCAGAAAGAUGGUGUCCUGAGCUGUGUAGUCACAUCUUCCUUAAAUUACAGCUGAACCACAAAAUUACUCUGCAGAGUGAAGAACGACCUCCUGGCUUCUCCUGGUGUUCUCAUAUCUCCUUCCUUCAUGCAAGCUUGAAUUGUACUGGUGAAACCAUGAUUCAUCUCCUGCCAUAAAGAUGAAGAAAUGCUUCAUGAAAAAAAGGAUUAAAAGAUAAAAAUAAAAGAAUAAUAUUUCUCAAGA